CUUCCGAGGGGCGGCGCGAACGGCAAUGGCGGUCCUCUUCUGAAAGGGAGAGGAGGCUCCGCAGAAAACGGGUCGUCCGCUACGGCGAAGCGGAGACCCACUCUGGAAAACCCCAGGCAGCAAGAGCUUGGGGUCCUGAGGCUCGGUGGGCGCCUUAAGUGACCCUCCAAACGCAGAAGGAACCUCGUAAGGGGCUCCGGAGCGUGGAGGGGGGUUGCGGCGCUGAGAGCUGCUUCACAGUCUGCGGAGUGAAGCCGCGCUGCUGCUGCCGGUGAGCGCUGAUCCUUUUUCCUGCUAAAACACGGAUUCGGACGAAAAGCAACUUACUCGUGAGUAAAGACUGAAUCACUUGAAAUCAGAGACUUUAUAUAAAAAACCUUAAAUUGGCUUGAACUUGGCUGAAAGCGGAGAGACGUGGAAACAGGAAGUCCGUCUUCCGCAGCCAUUGAACUUGAAAAAAGCAACUAAGUUGGAGGAGUGGAGGCUGAAAGGAAGAGAUUUUAAACUUUACAGAUCUAAGCAUCUACUGAACCUGCAAUUUAAAGUAAAGACUUUAAGCUAAAGACUUGGAAUUUUAACUUGCACUUGACUUUACCCCUUUUAUUGGAUUACAAAUUAGAAGGUGAAACCCAGAGUCAGGAGCUGCCUGAGCAUUGAGAAAUUGAGCUGUCAGUAUUGCAGAUUUGGAUACUGUAUAUUGGAACUUGCAACAAUCUGAGGGUAUUGAGACUUUUUAAAUUUGAAACAUUCUUUUUGGAGACAAAUAAGCACUGUCUGUAACAAAGUGACUACUUAUAAACUCUGCUAAAUAUUUAUAUUUGAAGGUUCUUGGACAUUAAAUUAGACUCUGAAAGACAUUUUAAGCUCCUCUAGAGGACUGGAUGAAAACAGUGACUUUACAUUUACAUUUACUUUCGAUUCCCUUGUUGUUUGCUUGCUCUGGGCCUUUCUAUUCCCAUGGGAAAAACUCAGUGUGACCUUGACUGAUAGACAACGUUGGAAUGAGUGGCACAAGGAAAAGAGGGAGAGUUAGACAAACAACUUUAACAACUCUAACCUCAGCCUCGCAGACACGUAGAUCAUCUGUACCUACUUUGCCCUCAGAAGUAGAACUUGAAGAAGUUGCCUUGCCACAGGCAAAAGAGGGAGAGGGUGAAGCAGAGCAGUUACAAUUGGAAGAUAUGGCCUCAGGAGUAUCUGUUUCUGUUCUAGACAAAAUCUUUGAAAAAUUGGAAGCUUUGGACAAGAAAGUAGAUGCGCAAUCAGCAAAGAUUGACAAAAAUACAGAAUGUCUAAAUAAAUUAACCAUACAAGUUGUACAGAAUACACAAGCAAUUGGACAGUUAACGGAGGCCUCAGCAGAAAAUCGGAAACUGGCUGAGGAUACUAGACAAAAAUUGGAAAAUUUAGAGCAAGAGGUAAGGCCACUCACCAAACAAGUUGGGGAACAUCAGACUUAUCUUUCCAUGAUAGAACUGCGAAAUCGUGAGAAUAAUUUGAGGAUUAGAUCAUUACAAGAGGCAGAAGAAGGAAAUUUAACUGAGUUUUUGACCAAAGAAGUUUCCAAGUUCUGGAAUUUGGAAGAAAAGGAUUUUAAAAUUGUGUCGGCUUUCAGACUUGGAAGAUUCACAAAGAAGGAGAGGCCCAGAGACUGUUUGAUUACAUUGAGAUCAAAGGAGGAAAGGGAUAAGAUUUUGGGCCUACAUUACGGAAAGUCACUGGAGGUUUUGGACAGAAGAAUUGAAAUUUAUAAAGAUAUUCCAAGACAACUGCUGGAUCUUAGAGCCGCCUAUUCUGAACUUGCUAAACUACUAAGGAGCAACGCAAUUCCAUUUAGGUGGGAAUUUCCACAAGGAAUAUCUUUUACCUUUAAAGGGAGAAAGGUCAAAGUUAGAACAUUGGAAGAGAGAGACAAAUUUUUGGCUACAUACGGAGAGGACCUUCAAAAGGGAAUUGAAUUACCUUCUGGGCCUGGGGCAAAGCCAGUAUCAACACCAGCACCUGGGGAACCUGAAGAUCCAGAGAAGACACCACCCCUGGAGAAAUAACCAGAUAGAUCCAGGAUGUCUCUGCAAUUGCUGAGUUGGAACAUUAAUGGUUGUAACAUUCCGG